AAUUAGUCAUAUAUAUAUAAUCAACUUUUUUUUUGUAACUUUUAAUACCCUUGUUUUUUUUUUGAACACAAUAAUACCCUUGUUUAAUUGUUUGUAUACUAAUCAAUAAAAGGUCAACGCUUUCUAUUACCUUUGGCGCCGCAUGACGGUGUGUCUUUGUUGAUUUAAAUAAGUAAUAAACGAUGCCGUUAUCCAAAGCAACGGCUAAUUCUGUUUCAGUUAAAAGAUUCUGAAGAUCUUUUUUAUAACUUCUCUUCCUUCUCUUUCAAAAUUUGAAUCACUCUUAUUUUCUGAUCUUUGAGAAACGGCAGAGAGAGAAAAUAGCGAGAACAAGAAAAGAGGAGAGAGUCACAAAAUAGCGAAGUUGAUCGAUCACCAAUAUCGAAGCGAAGGCCAUUGACGAGUCGGGUCCGAUCGAUGUGUUGAGGAUAUCAAGUUCAGACGAUUGACGUUAAUCUCGCUUCAACGUGAUUAAGGCUGCCCGCCAUGAAAGCAAGGAAAGGUCGUGGAGUCGCGGACCUGGUGGUUCCAUAUCUCUCGUCUCAUCUCAAGCCCGCCAUGAUGAAAGCAAGGAAAAGUCAGAGACCUUGUUCGGAAACAGAUCGUAGCUACAUUCGAUCCCAAUAGAAGCGGGACUUACGGAGACGGUGGUGACGGUGCAGAGGCGAUCGGGAUCGAGAGUUAUGUUAAUGCUGUCGUUGACGAUGAUUCAAAAUUGUUGGUGAAGCAAGGGAAGGAAUCUGGCGUUAUUCAGCUUGGGCCUGCGUAUCAAGAGCCAUUGGGCUCCACCUAUUUAUCAGGUUACCUGAAUACUAUUUUCUUAGUUGUCAUUCAAAAUAUUUCGGCCUUUUCAAAAAAUUUGCGUCAAUUUUAAUAUUUUCGGGUCUUUUUGGAAACUCAAAUUUCGGAUUUGACAAUGGGCUGGGCCCUCUAGUUUGAGCUAACGAUGCCUUUACAAGUUAAUAAUUUCAUGUCGAUGGAUUUGGCACUAGCCCAUGUACGUAAAUUUUAAAAAUAUUUAGGUUUAUUAUUUGAGCUUGCUUAUAAUAGUUAACAUUAUCUAGGUUCUGAAGUUAAUAGGAUCGGUCCAAUUUUGAAAUAUCUAGGUUUAUUAUUGGACUUGCUUAUACAAGUUAUAUUAUAUUUAGGUUUAUUACUUGGGCUUUCUUAACACAAACGAACACACUAUAUGAGAUUAAGCUAUUUGAAAUUAAAGAGUAUUUGAAAUUAGGAAUAUUUGAGAAUAAAGGGUAUAUGAAAUUAUAAGGGAAUAUGGAUUAUGGGUAUAUGAGACUAAAAGAUAGUUGGGAUUUAAAGAGUUUUUGAGAUUAGGUAUUUGAGAAUAAGGGGUAUAUGAGACUAAAAGGUAUAUGGGAUUAAGGUGUAAAUGAGAGAUUAAGGGGUAUUCAAGAUUAGUAUAUGGCAUGAAGGGGUAUUUGAGAUGAAAGGGCUUUUUGAGAUAAGGUAUAUUUGAGAAUAAGGGUAUUUGAGAUUAAAUGAGUAUUUAUUUGAGAAAAAGGGUAUUUGAGAUUAAAGGGGUAUUAGAGAAAAAGGGGGAUAUAUGAGAUUAAAGGGGUAUUAGAGAAAAAGGGGGAUAUUUGAGAUUAUUAGGGGGAUAUUUGAGAUUAAAGGGGUAUUUUAGAAUAAAGGGGCAUUUUAGAAUAAAGGGGCAUUUUAGAAUAUUAGGGUUUAGGGUUUAGGGUUUAGGGUUUAGGGUUUAGGGUUUAGGGUUUAGGGUUUAGGGUUUAGGUUUAGGGUUUAGGGUUU